rnacentral:rRNA from 1 species
AGGGGGUUUGAUCCUGGGCUCAGGAUGAACGCUGGCGGCGUGCUUAACACAUGCAAGUCGAACGUGAAACCCGGUACUUGUAUUGGGGAGUAAAGUGGCGAACGGGUGAGUAACACGUUGGUGACCUGCCUUAAGGUGGGGGACAACCGUGGGAAACCACGGCUAAUACCCCAGAUGUUUAUGGUGUUAGAGGCCAUAAACUAAAGCCCCCGUAAGGGGGUGCCUUUAGAGGGACCUGCGGGCUAUCAGCUAGUUGGUGGGGUAAUGGCCUACCAAGGCAAAGACGGCUAGGGGGCGUGAGAGCGCGACCCCCCACAAUGGAACUGAGACACGGUCCAUACUCCUACGGGAGGCAGCAGUGAGGAAUAUUGCACAAUGGGGGAAACCCUGAUGCAGCAACGCCGCGUGAACGAAGAAGGCCUCCGGGUCGUAAAGUUCUUUUCUGAGGGAAGAUAGUGACGGUACCUCAGGAAUAAGUCCCGGCUAACUACGUGCCAGCAGCCGCGGUAAGACGUAGGGGCGAGCGUUAUCCGGAUUUAUUGGGCGUAAAGCGCGCGUAGGCGGCUAGGUAAGUUGGACGUGAAAGCUCCCGGCUCAACUGGGAGAGGUCGUUCAAAACUGUCUGGCUUGAGGAUAGGAGAGGAGAGUAGAAUUCCCGGUGUAGUGGUGGAAUGCGUAGAUAUCGGGAGGAAUACCAGUGGCGAAGGCGGCUCUCUGGCCUAUGCCUGACGCUGAGGUGCGAAAGCGUGGGUAGCGAACGGGAUUAGAUACCCCGGUAGUCCACGCUGUAAACGAUGGAU